rnacentral:rRNA from 1 species
AGGACGAACGCUGGCGGCGUGCUUAACACAUGCAAGUCGAGCGAGGCCCUCUCCUUCGGGAGGGGUGCCCUAGCGGCGAGCGGGUGAGUAACACGUGGGCAACCUGCCCCUAGCACUGGGAUAACUCCGGGAAACCGGGGCUAAUACCGGAUACGACCUCGGAAGGCAUCUUCUGAGGUGGAAAGUUUUUCGGCUAGGGAUGGGCCCGCGGCCUAUCAGCUUGUUGGUGGGGUAACGGCCUACCAAGGCUCCGACGGGU